CCUCACCCAGCCUCUGGUAGCCAUCAUUCUACUCUCUACUUCUUUUUUUGAGGAACUUCCAUUCAGUUUCCCAUAAUGGCUGUGAGUCUGGAGUUUGUUCCUGCCGGUGGGUUCGUGGUCUCGCUGACUUCAAGAAUGAAGCUGCAGACGUUCGUGAGGAGAAAGCUGAAGCACCAGAUGGUUAAAAGGACUGUUCAAGACAGCCUUGCAAUUUUGACCAAGGAAGAAAGCUGAAGAGUGCUAGGGCAAGAGAGGAACUACGUCCAGAACAAUUCAUAAUUCCAAAUUCUCACUUCCAUGAUUUCAAUGCUGAAUGUGUACUUCUCUAGCU
rnacentral:lncRNA from 1 species